rnacentral:rRNA from 1 species
GUUUCUAUCUAUGAAAUGUUUUCUUCCAGUACGAAAGGAUCGAAGAAAAAAGGCCCAUACUUUAAGUAAGCCUUACCCCAACCUAAUGAAAACAACUAAAUUAGAUUAAGGGCAUACCCCUUAAUCGAAGAUAACGAU